rnacentral:rRNA from 1 species
GAGUUUGAUCCUGGCCAGAACGAACGCUGGCGGCAGGCUUAACACAUGCAAGUCGAACGCGUGUAGCAAUACACGAGUGGCGCACGGGUGAGUAACGCGUGGAUAUCUGCCUUUUGGUUCGGAAUAACCCCGGGAAACUGGGGCUAAUACCAGAUGGUUCCUUCGGGAUAAAGAUUUAUCGCCAAAAGAUGAGUCCGCGUCCGAUUAGCUAGUUGGUGAGGUAACGGCUCACCAAGGCGACGAUCGGUAGCUGGUCUGAGAGGACGAUCAGCCACACUGGGACUGAGACACGGCCCAGACUCCUACGGGAGGCAGCAGUGGGGAAUAUUGGACAAUGGGGGCAACCCUGAUCCAGCCAUGCCGCGUGAGUGAUGAAGGCCUUCGGGUUGUAAAGCUCUUUUGGCGGGGACGAUGAUGACGGUACCCGCAGAAUAAGCCCCGGCUAACUUCGUGCCAGCAGCCGCGUUA